UGGUAAGUUUUUCAUCAAAGGGGAAAGGUCAAGUGACUUUGAACAUGGUAAUUUUUUUGAUGAAUAAAGAGAAAUAUAUUAAAAUGUAAUAUUUUUAAAUCGACCCUUUUCAUAAGAAAAAAAGGUUUGUAAAAUAAUUUUUUAAUAUGUAUUAUUUAUAAUUUUGUAUCAUUCUCAUAUUUUUGUUCUCAAAAACAACAAAUAGUUUAUUUUCUCUAUCAAACAUGCCAUUUUUACUUAUGGAUGUUAACUACCUGAAAAUUCAAGUAAACUACUCCUAAUUAGGGAUGGAUUAGGUAUGGGAUUAUUAUUAUUAUUUAUGAUACCCGGAUCCUUCGAUUUCAACCAACAUACCCAAAUCAAAAUGACAUGACAUGAGUUUGGGUAUGAGAUCUUUGUAAGCAUUCCUAUUUUAUUCUUUCAACUUAGUAAUAACUGCAUUAGAGAAAAAGAAGAGUUAGAUGAAAAAUAAAUUUCCCUAAGAAUAUUUAGGGAUAAGAGGAGUAGAAAAAAAGGAUUAGAGGAGAAAGAUCGGCGCUUCUAAAAUGGCAAUCUUGACUUCCAAUUUAUUUUUAGUUAAAAUUUCUUUUAAUAGUCCAUAUCCUAGUAUCCAUACCCAUUUUUGGAUCCUUUUUAGUUGAGUGCCCAUAUCCUAGAAUUUGAGUUGUGAAACAUGAGAUAGUUUCACACAUACCCACAUCUUACACUCAUAGUCAAACCCAUGCAACAUAGAUUAUUAUUAUUAUUAUUAUUAUUUAAUUGAGACGUGUUUAGGGUGAUUUGGGUUUUGUGUCCACCUGCCUUGCCUUGCACUUACAUAUGAAAAGACAAGUACGCCGUUUAUAGCAUUCAAUUUCUAUUGACUCCCCUCAUUGUCAAAUCCACCCUAAAUCUCAUUGCACCUCUAUCUAUUGCAGUCAUCCUCGUUUUCUCCGCCAAAAUAUAAGGAGUGUCCAUCUCCAUUGCAAUCCUCCUCAUCCUUUUAACAUUGAGAAUCUUCAUUUCUACCAAUUAGAAGCUAAGAUACUUUCAAGAUUGAGGAAAAACCACCUUGCAGACAAAAGAUAAGAGCCCUCACUAGAAGAAGUUGACAGAAUGAGUGAUAUUUGCAGAUGCUCUUCACUCCAUUAGGAGGAACUACAUCACCGCAUCAAGUCCAAUUACAGCUCUACGUUGCAGCCAUCACUGUGGCUGUCCCUAUAGUUGUCCCCAUCAUCAUCACCAUUGCUAUCACAAACAUUGCUGGUAUACUUUUGGUUGUCCCUCAGAAUGAUCAAAUUUGGUCUUUGUUAGCUAAGUUGCUUAUAAUUCUAGAUGGUAUCCUUCAGUUAUAUUUUAUCUUUUAACUUGUUAAUGAAGGAAAAAUGGGUGGGCAAGUGAUCUUAAUUUUCUCUAUAAUGUGACUGCUAUGAAGAAACCCCUUUAAUCCCUCUUUGGUUUUGUUUUCUUAUGCCAAUGUUUAUACCCAACCCGACUUGUCUCAGCUUGAUAACACUAACCCUAGGGAGGAUGGGGCUAGAAUGGGGAGCAAUUAUGCUUAACCAUCCCUCUCCACCCUGCCCUGACUUAGGUUUGUUUGGGCAUGGGAAAUUCCUCUACUAUAGGGGAGUGACCAAGAUAAGAUGAUGACUUCAAACCCACUCGAUUGACAUCCAAAUAAGUGUAAUUUUUCAAAAUGAAAAAUGAUAACAAUGUUGAUCAUGUGUGCAAAUUUUUUCGUCACAGCGAAGCAAGGCUUUAGCUGAGAGAAAGAGCAAGAAGUAAAAGGAGGUAGCGGUUACAACUCAAUUUGACAUUCUCCAUGGUAAAAAAAAGAGUCAAUUGGCAUCAUUGUUCUAAUAGUUGGACAGAACAGGUAGACUGAUCUCAGAAAUAUAUUGAGGGGUGAGAAAAUGCAGCCGUCUUCUGGAGAUAUGUAUGGCUUUUUUACCUCAAAAUCUAUUGAUCUAAACUAUAAAAUAGACGUCUGUGGAAAAUUUUUGGGGGAUAUACUGUUUAUUUAAUUAUAUCAUAUUUAAUUUAUCUCUUACAUUUUAUUUUGGUCAUUGAUCUCAAAGAUACCAUAUGGGAUUGUUAAUCUAUUUUAUUAAUUAAAACAUUAACAAGGUGCUUGUACAUGUAUAUGAAUAUUUUUUCCUUUCUUUUGAACUUGAAACAUUCUUUACUGAGGAUACACGAGACUUUUUUUAGUUGGAUAAAGGACUGCAAUGCUCAUGCAUAUGGAUUUUGUGUUAAAUACAUGUUGAAUCAUUCAUCAACUUGGAAGCUUUAGUUUUUGAGGUAAUUACUUAUUUAUUUACAUAUUUUUCAUAGAAUUAUUGAAGGGAGGAAUUACUUGAAAAUGUACAGUUUGACCUUAUUUACAAGGGAUAAAAUUUUGUGGUAUACUAGGAAAAAAACAUUUUGGAAUAGUCUUGGAGAUUUUCUUAUCUCAUUUAAUCCCAACAUAUGUGAUUAUUGUCUCCUUCAAUAUGGUUUUAACAAGAAGUAACUAACAUCUAUUAUUGGGAAAUGCUUAAUUCAAAUAACUGUUAGGAAAAUAAUAAGAAAAGGGAACUAUCUAUGUUAGUUAGAAUAGGAAAGUUAUUAUGAGUUGAAAUAUUAGAUGAUGUAAGCAUAAGUGGUGUAAAAUGUGGUAUAAUUAAAAAUUUCUUUGUGCUAAAAGAGAAGAAAUCAAUUUCUUUUUAAUUUUUCAAUUUUUAUUUUUAAAAAAAAUUGAAUUUCUUUUAUGCUUCAUGGCCCAUUCCUUAUCAUUGUAGUAAGUUAAGAUAAUUAAUUUUUUAUCUUCUAAUUUAGGUUUGCUUUUGAUGGAUUGAAAAUGCAAUGGCAUGAACGGAUUCGGAAAGAGAUCUCAAGUGCAUCCUUUCAGAUUCAAGGUGUGAAGCUUGAACCAACCUGGGCUUGGUUGUUUACUUCAUGGGCUUAACUGCAUCGGAGAGAUGCUGGUGACAGCCAAUAAUGAGGAGAUAAAGAAGAUAACAUGAAAGGACAGAAGAUGUGGAUGGCUUUGAUCCUAUACUGGUGGCUAUGGAUGGCCUUGAGAUGAAUGAGGAAGAGGAAGGCGAAGCAAGUACUUUUGAUAAUGAGCAUAAUCGGGAAAUUAUAUAUAUUUCAAAUAAUGUAGAGUAGUGAUGGAUAGAAAAUGGAAAUAGUAGCACAAGUAUAGAUGGGAUACUAAUAUAAUAUGUUAAAUGUACUUUGUAUUAGGGUUUGUAAGGUCUAGUGAAGGUUAUUUUUCUUCCAGGAGUUGAUGUAAGGGGAGGAGCCAAACUCAGUUACAAUUUUCUACUAGGGCUCCUUUGUUGUGUUCUUUUUUUAACUAUGGUAGUGGCACAUGAAUGUCAUGAUCAUGAAUAGAACUAUAUCGAGAUACUUUGAGUUGCAA